ACCGAACCAGAAAACAAUAAUCACCCAGGAUCUAGGGAAAAGACAGAUUACAAGAGAAGUAUCUUUUAAAACAAAGAAGAAUCAACUCAUGUGCACUAGGAUCGGUGCACUUGGGGACAAUAGAUUUCAACCUCUUCCACACUGUCUUGAUGUUGGUUCUGAAACUUUUGAGAACCUAAUUGUCCCCAGCAACUGAAAGAGUGUUGUAUCUUCUGCAAAACUGCUGUUUUUUGCUUAUAAAGGUUUGGGCGUUUCUUUCUCUCCGAACUUCCCAACACACCGCUGCAAACAGCUAUUGACUCACCUUUGCUAUCUUUCCUUCAUUUCCGCUCCUCCAAACUGUCCAGAGAUAGUGAAAUGAUGUAGGCCUCCCUUUUAAGACCAGUUGCGUUUUAAUGGUGCUCCAGAAACUCUUGGCAAAUGUGCAUCUAAAGAAGAGAUGAUUGGUAGAUCCAACAGUAGCUGCACAAAGCUUACAUCCAGCUCCAACAUUCCAACCUUUCCUAUUCAACAGUUCAGCGGGUUGCAGUCUGCUCUUGGAUGUCAACCAUAAAAACACUUUGACCUUUUCCGGGCAUGAAGUCGUCCAUAUGGCACGAUGAUAUGGGCACCUUAACCCCCCACAGCUGAGGAACCUGUAAAUGGAGUUAACAGAGAAUACACCAUUUUGGGCAAGUUUCCACUCAUUGGUUUGUGAUGCAGGUAAAAUGGUGGGGAUAUAGAAAGUAAUACGAAAAAUCUGGAGUUUUAUUCCUUGCUGUUUCAAGAAGAGUAGGCCAUUAUUUUGAAAUUGGCUAUUGGUUUAAAUGUUGCAGUUUGCUCGACAAGACAGGUAGAAUGCUUGAUUCUUUAUAAAGUACACAUGUAUAUAUGUGAAGAAAGUGCUUUUAUUGGUUUGUGGUAUACAUGUGCUCUGCUGUAUCCUAGAGCUAGGAUUCUUGAGAGUCAUGGUCAAAAGCAACCGGCUUGUGAUAAGAUAUUGUUGGCUCAUGCACAUGAAAAUUAAGAAUUUUAAUGGUUAUCAACCGUUGAAUGUUUA